rnacentral:rRNA from 1 species
GAUGAACGCUGGCGGCGUGCCCAAUACAUGCAAGUCGAGCGAACGGACGAGAAGCUUGCUUCUCUGAUGUUAGCGGCGGACGGGUGAGUAACACGUGGAUAACCUACCUAUAAGACUGGGAUAACUUCGGGAAACCGGAGCUAAUACCGGAUAAUAUUUUGAACCGCAUGGUUCAAAAGUAAAAGACGGUCUUGCUGUCACUUAUAGAUGGAUCCGCGCUGCAUUAGCUAGUUGGUAAGGUAACGGCUUACCAAGGCAACGAUGCAUAGCCGACCUGAGAGGGUGAUCGGCCACACUGGAACUGAGACACGGUCCAGACUCCUACGGGAGGCAGCAGUAGGGAAUCUUCCGCAAUGGGCGAAAGCCUGACGGAGCAACGCCGCGUGAGUGAUGAAGGUCUUCGGAUCGUAAAACUCUGUUAUUAGGGAAGAAUAUAUGUGUAAGUAACUGUGCACAUCUUGACGGUACCUAAUCAGAAAGCCACGGCUAACUACGUGCCAGCAGCCGCGGUAAUACGUAGGUGGCAAGCGUUAUCCGGAAUUAUUGGGCGUAAAGCGCGCGUAGGCGGUUUUUUAAGUCUGAUGUGAAAGCCCACGGCUCAACCGUGGAGGGUCAUUGGAAACUGGAAAACUUGAGUGCAGAAGAGGAAAGUGGAAUUCCAUGUGUAGCGGUGAAAUGCGCAGAGAUAUGGAGGAACACCAGUGGCGAAGGCGACUUUCUGGUCUGUAACUGACGCUGAUGUGCGAAAGCGUGGGGAUCAAACAGGAUUAGAUACCCUGGUAGUCCACGCCGUAAACGAUGAGUGCUAAGUGUUAGGGGGUUUCCGCCCCUUAGUGCUGCAGCUAACGCAUUAAGCACUCCGCCUGGGGAGUACGACCGCAAGGUUGAAACUCAAAGGAAUUGACGGGGACCCGCACAAGCGGUGGAGCAUGUGGUUUAAUUCGAAGCAACGCGAAGAACCUUACCAAAUCUUGACAUCCUUUGACAACUCUAGAGAUAGAGCCUUCCCCUUCGGGGGACAAAGUGACAGGUGGUGCAUGGUUGUCGUCAGCUCGUGUCGUGAGAUGUUGGGUUAAGUCCCGCAACGAGCGCAACCCUUAAGCUUAGUUGCCAUCAUUAAGUUGGGCACUCUAAGUUGACUGCCGGUGACAAACCGGAGGAAGGUGGGGAUGACGUCAAAUCAUCAUGCCCCUUAUGAUUUGGGCAACACACGUGCUACAAUGGACAAUACAAAGGGCAGCGAAACCGCGAGGUCAAGCAAAUCCCAUAAAGUUGUUCUCAGUUCGGAUUGUAGUCUGCAACUCGACUACAUGAAGCUGGAAUCGCUAGUAAUCGUAGAUCAGCAUGCUACGGUGAAUACGUUCCCGGGUCU